rnacentral:rRNA from 1 species
AUUGAACGCUGGCGGCAUGCCUUACACAUGCAAGUCGAACGGCAGCACGGGAGCAAUCCUGGUGGCUAGUGGCGAACGGGUGAGUAAUAUAUCGGAACGUGCCCAGUCGUGGGGGAUAACGUAGCGAAAGCUACGCUAAUACCGCAUACGAUCUAUGGAUGAAAGCGGGGGAUCGCAAGACCUCGCGCGAUUGGAGCGGCCGAUAUCAGAUUAGGUAGUUGGUGGGGUAAAGGCUCACCAAGCCGACGAUCUGUAGCUGGUCUGAGAGGACGACCAGCCACACGGGGACUGAGAAACGGCCCAGACUCCUACGGGAGGCAGCAGUGGGGAAUUUUGGACAAUGGGCGCAAGCCUGAUCCAGCAAUGCCGCGUGCAGGAUGAAGGCCUUCGGGUUGUAAACUGCUUUUGUACGGAGCGAAAAGGCUUCCACUAAUACUGGGGGCUCAUGACGGUACCGUAAGAAUAAGCACCGGCUAACUACGUGCCAGCCGCCGCAGUAAUAC